AAGGAAGAGCUAGUCUACCUUCUUCCUUCUAUGUACCAGGAAACAGGCCCAGAGAAGGGGAGUAACUUGCCCAAAGGCGCACAGAGCACUGGGUCAGAGUGUGAAGGGAGUGGCUGCCUGCUCUGGGGCCUUGGGGCUGAAUCCAGGUGCCUCCUCUCGCUCCCUGAGGCUGACGGGUGCAGGAGGGUCUGCAAGUGAGGCUUGCUUCCCAGUUGUAGGUCCUUCCAGUUGUGGCAUGUGGGACACUGCCUCAGCAUGGCCUGAUGAGCGGUGCCACGUCUGCACCCAGGAUCCGAACUGGUGAAACCCUGGGCCACCAAAGCGGAGCGCGAGAACUUAACCACCGGCCACAGGGUCAGCCUCUAAAGGAAGUUCUUUAGGGAGAAGGAGAAUGAUGCAGAAUGAACACUUGGCUCUACAUAAAGGAAUGAAGAGUGUCAGAAGUGGUAAACACGAGUAAAUACAAAAAGACCUCCCUUCGUUUUUAAAUUUCUUUAAAAUAUAGUUGCCUGUUUAAAGCAAAAAUAAUAAUGUGGUGUAGGGUUUAUAACACAAAAAUAAAACGUAUGACAACAAUAG
rnacentral:lncRNA from 1 species